GGGUCAUUAGGUUGGUCGUGCCACCGGUACGUACUGGUCUCACUGAUUCCUCCUUCCUGAAGAACCGUAAUGCCAUUAAUUUGGUGUUGCGGGGAAACAGGACUGUUACUUUGAAAAAAUUAGAGUGUUUAAAGCAAGCUAACGCUUGAAUACAUUAUCAUGGAAUAAUGAAAUAGGACGAUCGAUCCUAUUUUGUUGGUUUCUAGGAUUGACGUA
rnacentral:rRNA from 1 species